CCAUAGGUCUCGACCAAAUCUUGUGCCAGCAGUCGCGGUAAGACAAGGGAGACGAGUGUUAUUCAUCUUUAACAGGUAUAUAGGGUACCUAGACGGUGUGCAAUGGCUUAAAUAAGUACCUGGUACACUUGAGUUUGAUAUGUGAGAGGAAUAUGUCGGAAUUGUUGGAGGAAAGAUGAAAUUUGUUAAUACCAAUAGGACUGAUAACGGCGAAGGCAAACCUCUAUGUACAUGUACUUGCUAUUUCUGUUUUUAUUAUAGCAAAAUAGCAAUGUACUAUAACUGACGUUGAGGGACGAAGGCUCAGAGAGUGAAGAGGAUUAGAUACCCCCGUAACCUGGGCAGACAAUGAUGAGUGCCAUAGGUUGGCUUUAAGGCGGAACUAUAAAUGAAAGUGGAAGCACUCCACCU
rnacentral:rRNA from 1 species